rnacentral:rRNA from 1 species
GAUAAACGCUGGCGGCGUGCAUAACACAUGCAAGUCGAACGAUGAACCUUAAUUGAUUUCUUCGGAAUGAAAAUAAGUGGAUUAGUGGCGAACGGGUGAGUAACACGUGAGUAACUUGCCUUACACAAGGGGAUAGCCUUUGGAAACGAAGAAUAAUACCCUAUAAAGUCAAAAUAUCGCAUGAUAUAGUGACCAAAGAUUUAUCGGUGUAAGAUGGACUUGCGUCUGAUUAGCUAGUUGGUGAGAUAAAAGCCCACCAAGGCGACGAUCAGUAGCCGGCUUGAGAGAGUGUACGGCCACAUUGGGACUGAGACACGGCCCAAACUCCUACGGGAGGCAGCAGUGGGGAAUUUUGCACAAUGGGGGAAACCCUGAUGCAGCGACGCCGCGUGAUUUAGAAGGCCUUCGGGUUGUAAAAAUCUUUUUUAUGGGAUGAAAAUGACAGUACCAUAAGAAUAAGGUCCGGCUAAAUACGUGCCAGCAGCCGCGGUAAUACGUAUGGACCGAGCGUUGUCCGGAAUCAUUGGGCGUAAAGGGUACGUAGGCGGCCUAGUAAGUUAGAAGUGAAAUAAUAUAGCUCAACUAUAUAAAGCUUUUAAAACUGUUAGGCUUGAGAGAUGAAAGGGAAAGUGGAAUUCCUAGUGUAGCGGUGAAAUGCGCAGAUAUUAGGAAGAAUACCGGUGGCGAAGGCGACUUUCUGGUCAUCAUCUGACGCUGAGGUACGAAAGCGUGGGUAGCAAACAGG